UACGAAGGGGCUAGCGUUGCUCGGAAUUACUGGGCGUAAAGCGCACGUAGGCGGCUUUCUAAGUCGGGGGUGAAAUCCUGGAGCUCAACUCCAGAACUGCCUUCGAUACUGGCGAUCUUGAGUCCGGAAGAGGUGAGUGGAACUCCUAGUGUAGAGGUGGAAUUCGUAGAUAUUAGGAAGAACACCAGUGGCGAAGGCGGCUCACUGGUCCGGUACUGACGCUGAGGUGCGAAAGCGUGGGGAGCAAACAGG
rnacentral:rRNA from 1 species